rnacentral:rRNA from 1 species
CCUACGGGAGGCAGCAGUCGAGAAUCAUUCACAAUGGGGGAAACCCUGAUGGUGCGACGCCGCGUGGGGGAAUGAAGGUCUUCGGAUUGUAAACCCCUGUCAUGUGGGAGCAAAUUAAAAAGAUAGUACCACAAGAGGAAGAGACGGCUAACUCUGUGCCAACAGCCGCGGUAAUACAGAGGUCUCAAGCGUUGUUCGGAAUCACUGGGCGUAAAGCGUGCGUAGGCUGUUUCGUAAGUCGUGUGUGAAAGGCGCGGGCUCAACCCGCGGACGGCACAUGAUACUGCGAGACUAGAGUAAUGGAGGGGGAACCGGAAUUCUCGGGGUAGCAGUGAAAUGCGGAGAUAUCGAGAGGAACACUAGUGGCGAAGGCGGGUUCCUGGACAUUAACUGACGCUGAGGCACGAAGGCCAGGGGAGCGAAAGGGAUUAGAUACCCCUGGUAGUC